rnacentral:rRNA from 1 species
AAUCAACGCUGGCGGCGUGCCUCAGACAUGCAAGUCGAACGAUUAAACUUUCCUUCGGGAAAGAUAUAAAGUGGCGCACGGGUGAGUAACACGUAAGUAAUCUACCCUCGAGUGGGGAAUAACGUUCGGAAACGGACGCUAAUACCGCAUAAUGCAGCGGCACCGCAAGGUGACAGUUGUUAAAGAUUUAUCGCUUGAGGAGGAGCUUGCGGCAGAUUAGCUAGUUGGUAAGGUAACGGCUACCAAGGCUACGAUCUGUAACCGGUCUAAGAGGACGGUCGGUCACACUGACACUGAAUAACGGGUCAGACUCC